UACACAUUUGGUGCAUAUAAGAGUUGGGU
rnacentral:piRNA from 1 species